CACAUCAGGUGAUAAAAUCUAAAUAAUCUUAGGACACCUUCCAACACACAAGAUUUUUCUAUGGAUGAGAAUGAAUUUUUGAUGCUGAUGAUGUU